GGAUCAUGGCUCAGGACGAACGCUGGCGGCGUGCCUAAUACAUGCAAGUCGAGCGAAGUUUUUCUGGUGCUUGCACCGGAAAAACUUAGCGGCGAACGGGUGAGUAACACGUAAAGAACCUGCCUCAUAGACUGGGACAACUAUUGGAAACGAUAGCUAAUACCGGAUAACAGCAUUAACUGCAUGGUUGAUGUUUAAAAGUUGGUUUUGCUAACACUAUGAGAUGGCUUUGCGGUGCAUUAG
rnacentral:rRNA from 1 species